GUGAUCCCUUUGACAGCACAUGUACUAAAAUUGGAAUGAUACAGGGAAGAUUAGCAUGGCCCCAACUCAAGGAUGACAUGUAAAUGUGUGAAGCGUUCCCUAUUUUU